GUGCUUAACGCAGAGGUCCCUCCCCUGAAGGCCGUGGCGUUUGGUUGCACACAGGCUGCAGUUUCAGUUUGUUUUAUUCACCAUUUUGAGUAGCUGAGGAUACAAAAAUUAAGAAUAUUUGCGUUUGGAGGAGAAGUCGCCGCCGUAUUUUUUAUUUUUACGCCCUAGCUCAGACGGUGGAGUUGUGCGUCAACCUCCCUCCCCUCGGUGUUUUGCAGAGCGGGAAUCUAUAUUUCUUUUCCCCGUGCUUUUUCUUCUCCCUUUUCUUGCAACCUUAACCUCUACAGUAUUCCUGCAAAAUGUCAAGACCCGUGAGGAACAGGAAAGUGGUGAACUAUUCACAAUUCAAUGAGUCUGACGAUGCAGAUGAGGAGUAUGGUGAUGACAAGCCCAAGAAGGUGCACACAGCCCCUCGGGAGCCCAAGCACAAGCGCUCAAAGAACUCACAGGAUGACAGGUGAGACCUCUGCUAUGACUGGCAGUGGUAGACAGCUACCCAAACAUAUAUGUCUCUACUCAGUU